AGACGGGUGAGUAACACGUGGGUAAUCUACCUUAGGGACUGGGACAACAGUUGGAAACGACUGCUAAUACCGGAUGAUUCAUAUUUAGAUAACUAGAUAUGCUAAAAGGAGCUUCGGCUUCACCUUAAGAUGAGCCCGCGGCGUAUUAGUUAGUUGGUGGGGUAAUGGCCUACCAAGACGACGAUGCGUAUCCGAACUGAGAGGUUGAUCGGACACAUUGGGACUGAGACACGGCCCAAACUCCUACGGGAGGCAGCAGUUAGGAAUAUUCGUCAAUGGGGGAAACCCUGAACGAGCAAUGCCGCGUGAGUGAUGAAGGUCUUAUUGAUCGUAAAACUCUGUUGUAAAGGAAGAAACCUUACCAUAGGUAAUGAUGGUAAGCUGACGGUACUUUACCAGAAAGCCCCGGCUAACUACGUGCCAGCAGCCGCGGUAAUACGUAGGGGGCGAGCGUUAUCCGGAUUUAUUGGGCGUAAAG
rnacentral:rRNA from 1 species